rnacentral:rRNA from 1 species
AUUGAACGCUGGCGGCAUGCCUUACACAUGCAAGUCGAACGGCAGCACGGGUGCUUGCACCUGGUGGCGAGUGGCGAACGGGUGAGUAAUACAUCGGAACAUGUCCUGUAGUGGGGGAUAGCCCGGCGAAAGCCGGAUUAAUACCGCAUACGAUCUACGGAUGAAAGAGGGGGACUUUCGGGCCUCGCGCUAUAGGGUUGGCAGAUGGCUGAUUAGCUAGUUGGUGGGGUAAAGGCCUAACAAGGCGACGAUCAGUAGCUGGUCUGAGAGGACGACCAGCCACACUGGAACUGAGACACGGCCCAGACUCCUACGGGAGGCAGCAGUGGGGAAUUUUGGACAAUGGGCGAAAGCCUGAUCCAGCAAUGCCGCGUGUGUGAAGAAGGCCUUCGGGUUGUAAAGCACUUUUGUCCGGAAAGAAAUCCUUGGCCCUAAUACGGUCGGGGGAUGACGGUACCGGAAGAAUAAGCACCGGCUAACUACGUG